UCCUGACUGACCGAUAGUGAACCAGUACCGUGAGGGAAAGGCGAAAAGAACCCCGGCGAGGGGAGUGAAAAAGAACCUGAAACCGUGUACGUACAAGCAGUGGGAGCACGCUUAGGCGUGUGACUGCGUACCUUUUGUAUAAUGGGUCAGCGACUUAUAUUCUGUAGCAAGGUUAACCGAAUAGGGGAGCCGAAGGGAAACCGAGUCUUAACUGGGCGUUAAGUUGCAGGGUAUAGACCCGAAACCCGGUGAUCUAGCCAUGGGCAGGUUGAAGGUUGGGUAACACUAACUGGAGGACCGAACCGACUAAUGUUGAAAAAUUAGCGGAUGACUUGUGGCUGGGGGUGAAAGGCCAAUCAAACCGGGAGAUAGCUGGUUCUC
rnacentral:rRNA from 1 species